ACUCCUACGGGAGGCAGCAGUGGGGAAUAUUGCACAAUGGGCGCAAGCCUGAUGCAGCCAUGCCGCGUGUGUGAAGAAGGCCUUCGGGUUGUAAAGCACUUUCAGUCGUGAGGAAGGUGGUGUAGUUAAUAGCUGCAUUAUUUGACGUUAGCGACAGAAGAAGCACCGGCUAACUCCGUGCCAGCAGCCGCGGUAAUACGGAGGGUGCGAGCGUUAAUCGGAAUUACUGGGCGUAAAGCGCAUGCAGGUGGUUUGUUAAGUCAGAUGUGAAAGCCCGGGGCUCAACCUCGGAAUAGCAUUUGAAACUGGCAGACUAGAGUACUGUAGAGGGGGGUAGAAUUUCAGGUGUAGCGGUGAAAUGCGUAGAGAUCGUGAAGGAAUACCAGUGGCGAAGGCGGCCCCCUGGACAAAGACUGACGCUCAGAUGCGAAAGCGU
rnacentral:rRNA from 1 species